CCUACGGGGUGCAGCAGUGAGGAAUAUUGGUCAAUGGACGAGAGUCUGAACCAGCCAAGUAGCGUGAAGGAUGACUGCCCUAUGGGUUGUAAACUUCUUUUAUAUGGGAAUAAAACGUUCCACGUGUGGGAUUUUGUAUGUACCAUAUGAAUAAGGAUCGGCUAACUCCGUGCCAGCAGCCGCGGUAAUACGGGGGAUCCGAGCGUUAUCCGGAUUUAUUGGGUUUAAAGGGAGCGUAGGUGGAUUGUUAAGUCAGUUGUGAAAGUUUGCGGCUCAACCGUAAAAUUGCAGUUGAAACUGGCAGUCUUGAGUACAGUAGAGGUGGGCGGAAUUCGUGGUGUAGCGGUGAAAUGCUUAGAUAUCACGAAGAACUCCGAUUGCGAAGGCAGUUCACUGGACUGCAACUGACACUGAGGCUCGAAAGUGUGGGUAUCAAACAGGAUUAGAUACCCGAGUAGUC
rnacentral:rRNA from 1 species